AGGCUGGAGCCCUCUGCUUGGGAGAUGCGUUUCUCUGCCACGGUGUCAGUUGUCAUGCCUUAGCGGAGUGCCCGAGGGGAGGGGCAGGAGGCCCCUUGGAUGGGCUGGCACUGCGCCCCUGCUGCUGUCAGAGUGACUCAGAUCCCCUCCUGGCACCAGCCUGCUCAGGCAGUGCAAGCUGUUCCUUUGGCUCCUGGAGAUUGGGCUGGUUCUUCACUUCUUCCUCCCCUAGGACUGAGGCCAGGGAGGAGGGGUGCGGAUUUCUGUGUUUCCACCCUUUUCUCUUCUCCCAGCACAGGGGUGCGAGAGGAGGAAGUGGAGGCUGCAGUGCUGGGCUCUGGGUUCAUUCCCUGUGAUUCCUCUGGGCUGCCCCAAGUCCUGCUCAGCACAUACACAACAGGACACCAGGUGUGCUGGACAAAUGACCAGGCAGUGUGGUACUUGAAUGCAAGGGUUUCCUGAAAAGUUACCAUCAAAAACUGGGUCAGGUGGACGAAUGCAGAUGGAACAUCGGCAGUGAUUUCCUCUGAGUAAUGACGUGCCCUAAGAUUGUUCAGCACAGAGGACUUAAGCCACAGAAGGGAAAAGAAACGUUGAAAUCAGCCAAGGGAAGAAGCACAUAGUCUAGGAACAAUUCAAAAUGUGGAGAUCCAGCUGGGUGCAGUGGCUCUUGCCUGUAAUCCCAACACUUUGGGAGGCAGAGGCAUCUUCCUGGAGACAGGAAGGUAGGCACUGUGGAAUCAGCGGUGCGUAGAACAGUGAGGAUUUGGGGCUGAACCCAGCCCAGGUGGGCCAAGCCGUGGCACCAGCCGGACUGCAGUCUGAUGGAACUUCCCCUUCCUGCCCAGCAGAUGGCGAGCGUGUGCUGCUGGUGCCUCUUUCCAAAGGACGUUGAAUUGCUUGACAGGUGUUCUUUACUUUAUGAAUGAAGCCAGAGCAGCCCACCUUCCUGCAUCUCUACCACCAUGGCACCAUGCCCUGUGAUGGGUGGGCUGGAGUCAAAUAUGUAGCAGGCAGCCAGGGUCAGUUUGUGGCCACUGCUGCCCCCUCUUCCUACAGUCUCCUCACUGAGUGCCCCUUCCCUGUUGGGUUCAACACAUCUGUGCUCCUGUAAGCCCUCAGCCUCCUCGUUCUCUUCCUCAACUUCUACCACCAGACACAUCUGAGAAGCAAGCAAGAGAGGCUGAACUAGGAGCAGGACCCAGGGACUGAAACCAGCACAGCAUCCCCACAGAGAAUUGGGUGGAAGGCAGCAUGGCUUCCAGCUUACUGGUGCUGAGCAGAUUGCUCUGGGUCUCCAUUGUAUCCUCUGAAGGAAGGAGGAGGAUUGCCUUCUGUCCAGAUCUCAGGAUCAAACAAAUAGGUCCAAUUUCCUGUGCUCACUUCAGUUAGAGCACUUCUCAUGUGACUUUGUAGCUUUGUGUGCAUCUCCUUCCUCUACUAGACCUAAGCCCCUCACGGGAGGGACUCUCUUAUUCUUGAUGUUCCCCACACCUGGAAUUUCAAUAAACAUCUCAAUAAA
rnacentral:lncRNA from 10 species